rnacentral:rRNA from 1 species
UACGGGGGGGGCAAGCGUUGUUCGGAAUUACUGGGCGUAAAGCGCGCGCAGGCGGCGGUGUAAGCAUGGCGUGAAAGCCCCUGGCUUAACCAGGGAGGGUCGUCGUGGACUGCACCGCUUGAGGGCGGUAGGGGCUGGUGGAAUGCCUGGUGUAGUGGUGAAAUGCGUAGAGAUCAGGCGGAACACCCGUGGCGAAGGCGGCCAGCUGGGCCGUCCCUGACGCUGAGGCGCGAGGGCGUGGGGAGCGAACGGG